rnacentral:rRNA from 1 species
CACGUAGGGACCAAGCGUUGUCCGGAUUCAUUGGGCGUAAAGAGCUCGUAGGCGGUUCGAUAAGUCGGGUGUGAAACCUCCAGGCUCAACCUGGAGACGCCACCCGAUACUGUCGUGACUAGAGUCCAGUAGGGGAGACUGGAAUUCCUGGUGUAGCGGUGAAAUGCGCAGAUAUCAGGAGGAACACCGGUGGCGAAGGCGGGUCUCUGGGCCGAUACUGACGCUGAGGAGCGAAAGCGUGGGGAGCAAACAGG